rnacentral:rRNA from 1 species
UACGUAGGGUGCAAGCGUUAAUCGGAAUUACUGGGCGUAAAGCGUGCGCAGGCGGUUAUGCAAGACAGAUGUGAAAUCCCCGGGCUCAACCUGGGAACUGCAUUUGUGACUGCAUGGCUAGAGUGCGGCAGAGGGGGAUGGAAUUCCGCGUGUAGCAGUGAAAUGCGUAGAGAUGUGGAGGAACACCGAUGGCGAAGGCAGCCCCCUGGGUUAACACUGACGCUCAGGCACGAAAGCGUGGGGAGCAAACAGG